AACGAACGCUGGCGGCGUGCCUAACACAUGCAAGUCGAACGUGAUUGAAGAGCUUGCUCUUCAUGAAAGUGGCGCACGGGUGAGUAACGCGUAGAUAAUCUACCUGAUGAUUCGGGAUAACACUUCGAAAGGGGUGCUAAUACGGGAUAAGCCCACGGAGUCUUUGGACACUGCGGGAAAAGGAGGGGACCUUCGGGCCUUCCGUCAUCAGAUGAGUCUGCGUACCAUGAGCUAGUUGGUAGGGUAAAGGCCUACCAAGGCGACGAUGGUUAGCUGGUCUGAGAGGAUGAUCAGCCACACUGGAACUGAGACACGGUCCAGACUCCUACGGGAGGCAGCAGUGGGGAAUUUUGCGCAAUGGGGGAAACCCUGACGCAGCAACGCCGCGUGAGUGAUGAAGGCCCUUGGGUCGUAAAGCUCUGACAGAGGGAAAGAAAUGUGGGUGGCUAAUAUCCAUUCCACUUGACGGUACCCUCAAAGGAAGCACCGGCUAACUCCGUGCCAGCCGCCGCGGUAAAAC
rnacentral:rRNA from 1 species